GACGAACCGUGCAAACGUUGUUCGGAAUCACUGGGCUUAAAGGGCGCGUAGGCGGGCCAGCCAGUCUGUGGUGAAAGCCCCCGGCUUAACCGGGGAAGUGCCGUGGAUACUGCUGGCCUCGAGGAGGAUAGGGGCAUCUGGAACGGUCGGUGGAGCGGUGAAAUGCGUUGAUAUCGACCGGAACUCCGGUGGCGAAGGCGAGGUGCUGGGUCCUUUCUGACGCUGAUGCGCGAAAGCCAGGGGAGCAAACGGGG
rnacentral:rRNA from 1 species